rnacentral:lncRNA from 1 species
AAAGUGAGAAUAAAUUCCUGCGAUACUUCUCAAAACAAAAUAUACCCAUGUGGUGCAUCUUCAUAGACCCCGUGUCAUCUCCUAGGCAUGGCCUUAUUGGGUGAGUCAUCGACCGCUAUUCUCCAUAAUCGUCUGUAUUUAAGGAAGCAGAACGAGAUUAUCAUCCACUUAAAUUACCUCAGAUUGGUACGAGUAAGUUCACAAAGCAGAAGUAUGACAAAAGACUCUACUCAUUUUAUUGCUUUCGAAAUUCUCUUACAAUGAUCCUAAAAUAUGAAAAAAGAGAAAUACAAAAAUUACAGUGCGAUGCCUGGAGCUGAGGUGUCGGUCGCUGAGACAUCCGUUACAGUAGGAUCUCAGAUUUCAUCUAAAAAAUUCAAAUCCAGAUCCGAAUAUUUGACAGCAACUCGGAUUCAGAUAGACUACCUUCCGGCAUCAUAGGCAUCGAUAGAAUACCCAGCUCUUUUUUCCUCGUAUUCUUCUGAGGCCCGAAAGUCCUCCACAUCCUUAGAAGUGGUCUCGACUGUCCGUUUCUCUUCUGCCCCC